CCUAGUAGCAUACCCAAUAAAAGUGAGGAUUCCAUUUUUGUCAAAAUUGAAAUGCAUCCAAUUCGCGAGAGAUACAGACGUCUCUGAUUCGCAGCGCCUCUCUCCUUUGUCUUUCUCUCCAAUCAAUUCAAUCGCCGAGGUUUCUAGGUCUACAAUUCUUCAACGGAAAAGGGGAAAGUUUCAAUCUUGAAUCGCUAUGUCUAAGAGGGUCCUUUGCAAGUUCUUUGCCCAUGGAGCAUGUCUGAAAGGGGAUAAUUGUGAGUUUUCUCAUGAUUGGAAGGCUCCACCAAAUAAUAUUUGCACCUACUAUCAGAGAGGAAUGUGUGCCUAUGGCAGUCGAUGCAGAUAUGAACAUGUUAAAGCUUCUCGGUCGGAGUCAGCAGCAUCAUCUUCAUCGGCAUAUCCUUGUCCAUCUGUAGUCUCAAAUUUCAAUCCCGAAUUUCUUCGUUCAAAAACAUCUUCAUCGGCAUAUCCUUGUCCAUCUGUAGUCUCAAAUUUCAAUCCUGAAUUUCUUGGUUCAAAAACUGCAUCAAGUGAGGUAAAUACACUUCUAGGCGCUCCUGCAGUGACUAAAACUUUUGCUCCCAGCACUAAUCCAGCUUGGAAUUCAGAUCCUACUCAGCACACUAUUUUGGACAAUGGUGAUGUUGUGGAACCUAGAAGUGUAAAUCCAGUUGAUCGUCCCCUCUGUUCAUUUGCCGCGGCUGGUAACUGUCCUCGUGGUGAUACCUGUCCGCAUAUUCAUGGGGACGUAUGUUCCACCUGUGGAAAGCAUUGCUUGCACCCUUUUAGACCUGAAGAAAGAGAGCAGCAUAAGAGAACAUGUGAGAAAAAGCAGAAACACCUAGAGGCAUUAAAACAUAGUCAAGAAAUUGAGUGCAGUGUGUGUCUCGAGCGUGUACUCUCAAAGACCACAGUAGCUGAAAGGAAGUUUGGGUUACUAUCGGAAUGUGAUCAUCCAUUCUGUAUAUCAUGCAUCAGGAAUUGGCGUAGUAGCUCACCAAGCUCUGGAGUGGAUGUUAAUUCUGCACUGAGGACUUGCCCAAUAUGUCGUAAGCUGUCAUACUUUGUCAUUCCCAGUGUAAUUUGGUACUCAACACAAGAAGAGAAACAGGAUAUUGUUGAUAGCUACAAGGAAAAACUCAGCUCAAUUGAUUGCAAACACUUCAACUUUGGGAACGGGAAUUGCCCAUUUGGGACUAGUUGUUUUUACAAGCAUACGGUCAAGCCAGGCUCAUAUAUGUGGAAGUAUCACAGACCACCUCCUUCCAGCCGUCCUCCACGCAGAUCCAAUAUUGUCGAUAUGGAUGAGUUUUAUGAUGUGUUUGAGAGUUUCAUGGAUGAUGAGUACCUUUGUUAUGCCGAAGAUUUUUAUGAUGAAGAUUUUUACGAUGAAGAUCUAACACCUAUGGAGAUGGCGUUGUUACUAAUGCAUCUGGAGUCUCAUUCCGAUGGCUCCUCUAGUGAUGAGGAGGACAUAUCUUAAGUUCUUAGAUUGCCGUCUUGUAACCACUAUACUUUUUUGUUGGAUAUUCAGUUUCUUGCAAAGUUGUCUUUUUGACUGCUUUCAACACACUGCUCAUGGAAAUUGGAAAAAGAUAGUGGUUGUAGGUUACUGACUGGCGAUUGUGUUUUAUUUAAUGUGGGAUACUGUUAAUUUCCAUUAAGGAUUGUGUUUUCUGUUUCUGCGAUGAUGGGAGCAAUAGUGCUGCCAAUUUGUUCUUCUGGUGUUAUUGGCUGUUUACCUGCCUCGAAUGCAUAAGCUAGUUGGUUGACUUGCUAUUUUGAUGAUUCCUUUCUCAAACUGCAUUUUCUUCUGGGAGGUGUUCAAUAUGGGGUUUGUAAAAAGGGUGUUUGGUGGGGUUCUAAGGUGUUCGCGAACUGUGUGUCAGUGUCCAAGACUUCCCCAUGUAGUUGCCAAACAGAUGCUGGUAUCCAACCCCUCCCUACACUACACCACGGAACUCCCCUGAACCCUCCAACUAACAUGCAUAUCAAGAUGGCCGUAUGGAGGAAGUAGUUCUGCGUCAUCUUGGGGCAGAAGAUGGACUCACUGUGAUAGCUAAAGAUAUUAGGCUGUCAGACUUCCUGGGUGACUUAACUAUAAGGUGAAAGCUACUGCUCCAAUAGUUUGUGUGUAAGUCCAUUUAUACGGCUCUCUUUUUGCUGCUCAUUUGGUAUUUUGUCUGUGUGCAUAUGCUUUCUACUUUGGGACCAAUGCUUUAUUGCAACUGUGGAAUUUCAAACAAGCUCAAUUAUUUUAUGGCCUUUGCUGAUAAUUUAAGUUAGUUACAUUGCUUUGUUACUUUCUAUUUAGCUCCUUCCUUCCAGCUGCCUAACGAUGAUCACAGAAUCACAGCUGUGAUCAUGAAAAGUGAAGUGCCAUUGGCAACAUAUUAUUGUGGUUAGAUUUCUGGGCAUAAAGACAUAUGGGCCUCUGAAUAAAUAUAUUAGUUUAGUAUUUUCAGUCUUUCAUAGAGGAUCUUGUAUGACUCUUAUCUGGUAUUGCUCCUUUGGCGUGAUGGUUGGCCGUUUUACUUUGUGUCAUUGGUAGAGUAGUCACGUUGGCUCCUUUAACCAACCAGUUUAAUGUUUGAACCUUGGUGUCAUGAAAUUUAUGAUGAUAUGCAGCUUUUUAGUAAUAAAAUGAUUGUACAUAUUUUAAAUCAAGAUAUUUUCAACUCAUUGUGAAAGUUCUUCAAAUUGCUAGUUUCACACCAGUUUUUAAUCUGGUAAGGUGCCUUUUAUCGUAUUCUUUGAGCACUUCAUCAUGAUUGUUAACUUUGAAUCGAGCCCUGUGCUUUUAGACACGAUGAAACACUUGGAAGUUGGAACAGUCUUCUCCGUAUAUGCUUGUGGUGUUACUGCUUGCUUUAAUUGUUGAUAGUUUUAUCAGUAGUACUGCCUGGUAGUCUUGAGAAUGACUUGCUAUGCUUAAAGACUUUUUCUUGUGAUUACAUCGUGGCUAUUGAAAUUUACUGGCUGUUAAUUGAAUUUAGUAUGAUCAACUUGUAAUGAUUGCAUGAUAAAAAAGGAAAAAGAAAAUUUCAUGCAGACGUUGCCAGUCUGCUGUGUUUUGCAGUUAAUAUUGCAAGUUGAAGAAAAGCUGGAAUCACAUGGUAGAAUGGCCCCGUGUGAUGCGAAAAUGCUUAGUUUGCCUUCGAUUAUAUCCUCCUAAAGUAACUCCUCAUGGGUGUGUGGAUCUCUGCAAGGUGUUAAGCUGAUGACUUGAGAUCUUCUCAUGGUCUUUGCUGGAUAUAAGUAGAAAUAGGGUUUUUGUUAGAAUGCUUCUUUAAUCAAUUGAUUAGUCGUUGAGCACAAAGUAAGAGAACAUUACAAUGUAUUUGAUAAAACAAAGAGAAAAAUGAAUACAAAUUAAGAUUGGAAUGGAAU